GCCGGAAUAGCUCAGUGGUAGAGCAAUGGUUUCGUAAACCAUAGGUCAUGGGUUCAAAUCCCAUUUCCGGCU
rnacentral:tRNA from 1 species